rnacentral:misc_RNA from 1 species
GUGGGAUUGAAAACUUGGAUACCAGGGGAAUACAAAAAGAUGUACAGAAGAAUUCUACAUUCAUUCACUUUGCUUUGGAUCCUCUGUUUCUGAUUCAACUGAACUCUUGUUAACUGGAGUCUACUCUGGCAACCGUCCAGGAGGCAGGUCCAAAUUUGGAGACUUGAUUUCUGGCACUGAGUCACAAGCUGGAGAAACAUCAACUUUAUCACAUGUCAUGGCGCUAUCAGCUAGAUCCGGUGCUGACUCGGAAGCUGGAGGAGUUGCAUCAACUUGAUCACAUGCCACCGCGUUAUCAGCUGGACCCUGUGCUAACUCGGAAACUGGAGUUGCAUCAACUUGAUCACGUAUGGCAGUGGUAUCAGCUGGAGUGUUUGCCGAGUCACAAACUGGAGGAGCAUCAACUUGAUCACAUAUGGACAUUUCUACUGAAGUGACACUAGCAGCCGG